CACACUGGACUGAGACACGGUCCAGACUCCUACGGGAGGCAGCAGUGGGGAAUAUUGCACAAUGGGCGCAAGCCUGAUGCAGCCAUGCCGCGUGUGUGAAGAAGGCCUUCGGGUUGUAAAGUACUUUCAGUCGUGAGGAAGGCGGUGUCGUUAAUAGCGGCCUCGUUUGACGUUAGCUACAGAAGAAGCACCGGCUAACUCCGUGCCAGCAGCCGCGGUAAUACGGAGGGUGCGAGCGUUAAUCGGAAUUACUGGGCGUAAAGCGCAUGCAGGUGGUUUGUUAAGUCAGAUGUGAAAGCCCGGGGCUCAACCUCGGAAUAGCAUUUGAAACUGGCAGACUAGAGUACUGUAGAGGGGGGUAGAAUUUCAGGUGUAGCGGUGAAAUGCGUAGAGAUCUGAAGGAAUACCGGUGGCGAAGGCGGCCCCCUGGACAGAUACUGACACUCAGAUGCGAAAGCGUGGGGAGCAAACAGGAUUAGAUACCCUGGUAGUCCACGCCGUAAACGAUGUCUACUUGGAGGUUGUGGCCUUGAGCCGUGGCUUUCGGAGCUAACGCGUUAAGUAGACCGCCUGGGGAGUACGGUCGCAAGAUUAAAACUCAAAUGAAUUGACGGGGGCCCGCACAAGCGGUGGAGCAUGUGGUUUAAUUCGAUGCAACGCGAAGAACCUUACCUACUCUUGACAUCCAGAGAACUUUCCAGAGAUGGAUUGGUGCCUUCGGGAACUCUGAGACAGGUGCUGCAU
rnacentral:rRNA from 1 species